ensembl:lincRNA
CAGGCACUGAUCCGGUCACCACAGCGACCGCAAACAUCCCCAGCACAAGGCAGCCCUGGAGCCAGGCCAUCUGGGCGGCCGCAGAGCGGACGGUGAUGACAGCAGAGCCUGCGACACUUUGCCUCCAGGCCCCAUGAAGCACAAAGGUGCACUCAGUGGGAGCCUGCGCACUGAGAGCCACAUCCCCUGGUAGCAGGAGGCAUCUUCACCUCACCCAUCAGGCUCCAGCUCCGGCCUCCUGAACACAGCGCUCCGCCCCAGGGCUUUGCCCGCUGCUCCAAGGCCUCCUGCCCUCCCUGUGCUUCCUUGUGCAGACAUUAGCUCGACCUUGCUGGUAUAAACUGCAGUGUAGAUGGAGUUUGAAGCCCUGGGCACCUUCCUCGCUGCCACCGCUGAACCAAUGUGAGAACGUGGACAAGUUUUUCAACUUCUCCUUGAUGUUUUUAUCUGAGCAACAGAGCCAGAGGCAUCUUGGAAGGCUGUACCAAGGAUUAAACAAGCUGGAUUACAGGGCUAGCCCUUCACAGAGACCCCGGGAGCGAUCCACGAGGACCCGUCUAUCUGUCCAUCUAGGAACACCCAGUUCCCAGGCUGUGAACCAGUCCCAGGGUGCUGUGAGGACACAGAGGCGGCAGAAUUAUGAUUGCAGAGCCAGGUCCCUGGGGACUGAGCGGCCAACGUGUGGUCCUGCGGGGCAGCGAGGGCUGGCCUUGAACUCAUGAUGAAUACUAUGCCCAUCUCUGGAUAUCGUCUUCAGAUAAUUUUUUCAAAACCUACAUUAUGAGGUAAGUAACCCCAGCAUUUGGGAGGCAGAGGCAGGGAGAUCCCUGUGAGUUCCAGGCCAGCCUGAGCUCCAUAGCCAUUUCAAGGACAAUUUCAGCUACAUAAAAAGAUCCUGUAUCAAAAAAACAAAACAGAGCUGGGGACGCAGCUCAGCUGCACAAGGGUUUACCCAACAAGCACAGGGUUGUGACUUUGAUCCACGGUACCAAAAACAAAACAAAACAAAGAAACAAACGAAAAAACUCACCCACCUGUUACCUACAGAAAGACGCCCAUUAUCAGGCAGCUGUUGCACGGUUCUUUCCAGGCUUUUUUUCCCCCCUAAGUGUUAGGGAUUUUUCGGUUUUAGUACUUGUGUGAAAUAACAUAAUUACGAUGAUGACACUGUAAAUAAAUUAGAGAUUAUCAUUUUCCUCGAGUUUAACAGCUAAACAUUUUCCACUUUAUUGCAAACUUCGUAACUACCAAAUUUAAAGUGACUAAUUCCCCACUGAGUAAUGUUUCCUCAUUUAUCACCCAUUAUCCUAUUUGGGAACGCUUAAGCUGAGUCCGGAGUUUUCCUUUUAUGUACUUGCAAGCUACGAAAUCAGAAGCAAUUCGUAAACGGGGUAAACAGAGAAAGGACGCACGGUGCGCGCUCGCAGCGGAAGAGCUGACUCACGGGCCACGGGAAGACUGAUUGCAAAACUCCGGCUGCGCGCAGGGGCGGUGGAAAGGCGCAGGCGUGUUCUCUUCUGCUGAGGGUUUUGCUAAUCAGCAAACCAGGGGCGGAGCAGAGGCUGGGAACAGUAGCUGGCUCUGACUGCCCGUGUUUUGCUGAGGGGCCUGCGGCAGGUCACACCGCCUCUUGGGGCGUAGACAACCGCUGGUCAGACUGGACAGAACAAGCUGCUGCGGGCGCCCUGGCUGUCUUUUCCUCGCCCACGCCUCCUACCUGGCGCCUUCGGUGAAAAAAUCCAAGCUGUUGCCUGCUCCCUGCCCCACCCGGAUGGGCCAGUUCUGCAGGCUGGCGGCCAGCAGGGCAGCAGAUGGGUGCUGCCUGCGAGCCGUUAACACCAGCACUGCUGCUUCCUAUAUGUACAAGGGGUGACUGAGUCCCACAGUGAAUAUUUAAAAUGCUUAAAAAUCCCUCAAAGAAGGGGCGAGGAUUUAGCUCAGUGGCAUGAGCGCCUGCUUUGCAAGUGUGUGGUCUUGAGUUCGAUCCACGUUACCGAUAAAAAAGAAAAAGACAAAAAAAAAUCCCUCAAAGAGUUAAAGUCAUAUUACAGUGAUCCGUGCACACCUGUGUUUAUAGCAGCACAAAUCAUAAUGGCUAAGUCUUGGAUGCAACCUGUGUGUCCUUCAAUGGAUGUGUGGAUAAAGACACCGUGGUAUUUACACACAAUGGAGUACUACUCAGCCAUAAAGAAGAUAAGCUGACUCAGCUGUUAGACAAUAAACUCACCCUGAGACCAAAAUGUUGAGUGAAUGAAAUCAG